CUCUCGGUGGCCAAGUUGGUUUAAGGCGCAAGACUGUAACUUGAUACAAAGAAAUCUUGAUAUCGGGCGUUCGAAUCGCCCCCGGGAGA
rfam:Lachancea thermotolerans CBS 6340 chromosome E complete sequence.